GACGAACGCUGGCGGCGUGCUUAACACAUGCAAGUCGAACGGAAAGGCCCUGCUUUUGUGGGGUGCUCGAGUGGCGAACGGGUGAGUAACACGUGAGUAACCUGCCCUUGACUUUGGGAUAACUUCAGGAAACUGGGGCUAAUACCGGAUAGGAGCUCCUGCUGCAUGGUGGGGGUUGGAAAGUUUCGGCGGUUGGGGAUGGACUCGCGGCUUAUCAGCUUGUUGGUGGGGUAGUGGCUUACCAAGGCUUUGACGGGUAGCCGGCCUGAGAGGGUGACCGGCCACAUUGGGACUGAGAUACGGCCCAGACUCCUACGGGAGGCAGCAGGGGGGAAUAUUGCACAAUGGGCGGAAGCCUGAUGCAGCAACGCCGCGUGCGGGAUGACGGCCUUCGGGUUGUAAACCGCUUUCGCCUGUGACGAAGCGUGAGUGACGGUAAUGGUAAAGAAGCACCGGCUAACUACGUG
rnacentral:rRNA from 1 species